rnacentral:rRNA from 1 species
GCACCACCGGCGGACGGCUCAGUAACACGUCGGUAACCUACCCUCGGGAGGGGGAUAACCCCGGGAAACUGGGGCUAAUUCCCCAUAGGCCUGAGGUACUGGAAGGUCCUCAGGCCGAAAGGGACUUAUGUCCGCCCGAGGAUGGGCCGGCGGCCGAUUAGGUAGUUGGUGGGGUAAUGGCCCACCAAGCCGAAGAUCGGUACGGGCUGUGAGAGCAGGAGCCCGGAGAUGGACACUGAGACACGGGUCCAGGCCCUACGGGGCGCAGCAGGCGCGAAACCUCCGCAAUGCGGGAAGCCGCGACGGGGGGACCCCGAGUGCCGUGGCAACGCCACGGCUUUUCCGGAGUGUAAAAAGCUCCGGGAAUAAGGGCUGGGCAAGGCCGGUGGCAGCCGCCGCGGUAAUACCGGCGGCCCGAGUGGUGGCCGCUAUUAUUGGGCCUAAAGCGUCCGUAGCCGGGCCCGUAAGUCCCUGGCGAAAUCCCACGGCUCAACCGUGGGGCUUGCUGGGGAUACUGCGGGUCUUGGGACCGGGAGAGGCGGGGGGUACCCCUGGGGUAGGGGUGAAAUCCUAUAAUCCCAGGGGGACCGCCAGUGGCGA